GACGAACGCUGGCGGCGUGCCUAAUACAUGCAAGUAGGACGCAGUUGCGAACGGGUGAGUAACGCGUAGGUAACUGCCUAUUAGAGGGGGAUAACUAUUGGAAACGAUAGCUAAUACCGCAUACUAGUAGAUGGACCUGCGUUGUAUUAGCUAGUAGGUAGGGUAAUGGCCUACCUAGGCGACGAUACAUAGCCGAGCGGGGAGGGUGAUCGGCCAAAGUGGGACUGGAGCAAGGGCCCGGAUCCCACGGGAGGGCGCAGUAGGGAAACUUCGGAAAUGGGGGGAACCCUGGUCGCGCAACUGCGCGUGAUUGGAGAAGGUGUUCGGGUCGUAAAGCUCUGUUGUUAAGGAAGCGGUACUUAACCAGAAAGGGACGGCUAACUACGUGCCAGCAGCCGCGGUAAUUC
rnacentral:rRNA from 1 species